CUGCGAUAAUCUCUAGAAUAAACACGAUCCCUGCUGCGAGAUCGUGAGUAUGUCCUUGAACGAGACCUAGAACUGUAUCUCUUUUUUCUAGAGUGUGACCUGGAUCUUGACCUAGAGCUGGACUGAGAUCUGGACUUGGAUCUUGAAGAAUGUGAUCUAGAGUUAGAUCGACCCAUUUUUCCCAGUAGAUAUACUUCUUCUCAAGCCACUGGUCUGUGUCAAUCAAUCAGCUAUCUUAAAAUUCUCCGUUUAUGCUUUCAGCAACACAGAUCCCAUUCACUAGUAGUGACCAAGAUAUUUCCAAUUUUUACAAAAUAUAUGCUUUAACAAGAUAAAGUUUUUACUUCUCAUC
rnacentral:lncRNA from 1 species